rnacentral:misc_RNA from 1 species
AACUCAACAUCCAACCAAUAGAUGCCAAGAAAUCCAAAUCUUGUCAAAGUUGCCAAUCAAUUUGAGGGAAAAGAAAUAACAGGAGGCAAAACUUUGAACAGUUACAUUCCAUCAUUUUUGCAGAAAUCAAAGCCCCAAGUCAGCCAGGCCAAUUGCCAAAUGGCUGUAGUUAAGCUAAAAUUCACUAGAGGUUUGUGUUCUUAUAUCUAUUUUUUGUCGUCCAUAUAAAAAAGAUUAAAAAACAGAAUCAAGCGACUUGGCAAAAUUCUUUGAUGGUGAGACAAAAGUUCUAAUAAGAA